UUUGUUACCUAUACAUUAAUACAGUCUUAAAUAUGUGCUUAAUAAAAAGUUUAGAAUUAGUACACUUGUAAACAAAAUGUACAUUCAUAUUCGUUACUUUGAUACAUGUUAAUAUAUGCAGAAAUGUGCACGACAACAAGGAAGUAUUUUUGUACAAACUAGAUCACCUCGUUUUGACCUCGUGUAGAAAAUUAUACAAUGUCGGCCUAACGAAGUUUACAUGCCCUUGGGAAGUUAUUGGUUUCGGGUUUUUUUUAAGUUAUGCAUUAUUCAAGUACACGUAUCUGCAGAAAAAAAGUUAAACGUAAAGGUUGUUUAUAAUCUUGUUCAUGGAACGUUAAUUCAUGAAGACCAUCAGUCAGUUACUUUGCCCUUGGCUCAGAGAACCUAAUCAAGGCGGCCGUUAUCAACAUUUUAUCAAAAUGUUUUCAUUCGGCGCUACAUGUAUCGAGUGCAGUUAAUGUAAUGUGCAUUAGCUUAAUAUUAACAUAAGCUUGAUAUCAAAAUGCCAAUUGAUAUUUACAACAAAGAGUUCCAAAACUGGUUAAAGGGUGUAUUUGCACUUAACACAACAAGGAAUGCAUUGUGCAAAUGUGUAGUCGAAAAACUCGGGGAUUACAUAAAAGACAUUCCCGAUGAAACAUUGGAACAAUUUUUCUGUUGCCUACGUUUAAAUAGUAUCAUGCAAUUAAAGACGCAGAAGAAAGGUCAAAUAAGAUGGCAAUGUGAGCAUGAAAAAUGCAGAGAACUGAUGGAUAGUUUUGUCAAAAAACACAUAGACAGAAGAAUACUUAAAUAUCAAUGGACACUUAUGCAAGCCCAGACUGAUUUGUCCCAGUCAAACUUGGACAGUUCUGAUGUAAUUAAUCAAUAUGGUGAAAACAAAUUAAUUUGGA